rnacentral:rRNA from 1 species
GACGAACGCUGGCGGCGUGCUUAACACAUGCAAGUCGAACGGAAAGGCCCUGCUUUUGUGGGGUGCUCGAGUGGCGAACGGGUGAGUAACACGUGAGUAACCUGCCCUUGACUUUGGGAUAACUUCAGGAAACUGGGGCUAAUACCGGAUAGGAGCUCCUGCUGCAUGGUGGGGGUUGGAAAGUUUCGGCGGUUGGGGAUGGACUCGCGGCUUAUCAGCUUGUUGGUUGGGUAGUGGCUUACCAAGGCUUUGACGGGUAGCCGGCCUGAGCGGGUGACCGGCCACAUUGGGACUGAGAUACGGCCCAGACUCCUACGGGAGGCAGCAGUGGGGAAUAUUGCACAAUGGGCGGAAGCAUGAUGCAGCAACGCAGCGUGCGGGAUGACGGCAUUCGGGUUGUAUACCGCUUUCGCCUGUGACGAAGCGUGAGUGACGGUAAUGGGUAAAGAAGCACCGGCUAACUACGUG